rnacentral:rRNA from 1 species
CCCAGACUCCUACGGGAGGCAGCAGUGGGGAAUAUUGCACAAUGGGGGAAACCCUGAUGCAGCGACGCCGCGUGAGCGAUGAAGUAUUUCGGUAUGUAAAGCUCUAUCAGCAGGGAAGAAAAUGACGGUACCUGACUAAGAAGCCCCGGCUAACUACGUGCCAGCAGCCGCGGUAAUACGUAGGGAGCGAGCGUUGUCCGGAAUUACUGGGUGUAAAGGGAGCGUAGGCGGGGAUGCAAGUUGGGUGUCAAAACUACCGGCUCAACUGGUAGUCGCACUCAAAACUGCAGCUCUUGAGUGAAGUAGAGGCAGGCGGAAUUCCUAGUGUAGCGGUGAAAUGCGUAGAUAUAAGGAAGAACACCAGUGGCGAAGGCGGAUGACUGGACGGCAACUGACGGUGAGGCGCGAAAGCGUGGGGAGCAAACAGGAUUAGAUACCCCUGUAAU